UUCCUGCAAGAAAGGGGGGUUUGUUCCUUUGUGUCUCUGCUGCAAGGGCUGCCUCGGUCUCCCCUCCUGGGAUCUGGUGAGUCUCCUCUCUCUCUGGGAUCUGGUGGGGGUCCCAGGGCUGCAGCAGGGGAGGGGGCCUGGGGGGGGCCUGAUCUGCUCCUGCAGGGGGGGGGACCCCAAGUCAGGGAGGAGAGGGUCCUGCCAGGGAGGGGCCAGGUCUGCCACGCUCUCCUUCCUGCAGAUCAGAGGAUCCCAAACUCAUUUGACCCUCCGCCCCCCCUUUCAGAAAAAAUCUCCCUUCUUUAUACAAAGGAGUCCCUGGGACUUUAACUCUGUGUGAUGUCGCUCAGCCUCAUUGCACAACAGAGGAAACAUCCGCAAAUGGUUUUCCAAAGCUGGAGGAGGAGGUGGACACUAGCCCCCCCCCCAAAAAAAAACGGGCAGGAAGGAAGGAAAAGUAGGAAAGAGAGACCAGGAAUAAAGAGAGGGAUCCCAGCCCCUAGUCUGGCUACUGCAUUGCAAACCAGUUUCCCAGUGUCUCCCAGGGCAGCUCCCCACGGAGGCCACUGCAGCAAUCCCCUCGCACCCAGAGCAUGGCAUCCCAGGACCACAUCCUCUCUCUGUCCCAAAGGGAUUGUUGCUGGAAAACCAGCCAAGCCGGAAAUGGGCGCUGCUACUCACCGAGCCUCCAGGGACCUUGGCAUCAAUGGCUGUGUGUGUGUUAAGCUAUCUAACAGAUUAAUACUACUACUACUUUUAAUAAAUUACACACCUAAAUUAAAAGGAGAUGUCUUUGGCCCUGCCCAUACCUGGCCCUCAGAGCAAAGAAAAAGGGAGCCCACCCCAGGUGUCUGUCUGGAGAGCGGCAGAGAGUCCAAGUGCAAGAAAAGGAGACAGAAGCAGGGGAGUGGGGGUGGGGGGAGCAACUCCUGAGGACCCCCAGGUGAGGACCCCCACUAGAGCCAAGCAUUCAUUUAUCACGAGAUACAAAUGACUCCCUUGUCAGUCACUUCUGACUUCAUGCAUUGACUGGAAGGCAGCAGAAACCAGGAUGAUUAAUCUGACAGAAAUCCCUUCAGUUGCCUCCACAUUCUGCAUUGCUUGAAGGCUAGAGACUUAUUUCUUCUCCUCUUCCUCCUCCUCCUCCUCUUUCUUUUCAGAAAGAUAGCUCAUGGUCUGGGAUCUGGUGCAGUCCAGCCCUGGUUCCCAGCAAGACUCAUCCAUGCUUGCUCAUUUCUUUUCCUGUCCUACAGAUUCUGUAACAGAACAAUGUAUUUGCUUUGUAGGAUUUCCUAGAGCUUUUCACCUCGACAGACAGAACUUGGCAGAAGACCAAAGGGUUCCUUCCAAUCUCUCAGAGGCUUCCUGAGAGCACAGAUGGAUGAGCAAGACUCAGCUGGUCCUGGAACAGGAAGAGGCCAUGCCAGCCAAACUGGGAGCAGUGGGGGAUUCUGGGAAAACUCUGUGCAGAAGAUCCAUGGUGAGGUGGACACCCUCCUCUCAGAGGUGCAGAGCCAGCAGUUGAGGCAGUUCUGCUGCCAGGAGGCCAAAGGAGCCCGAGAGAUUGGCAGCCGACUCUACCACUUUUGCCAUCAAUGGCUGAAACCAGAAAGGCACACGAAAGCUGAGAUGCUGGACCUGGUGAUCUUGGAGCAGUUCCUGGCUGUCCUUCCCCUGGAGAUGGAGAGCUGGGUGAGGGACUGUGGGGCGGAGACCAGUUCCCAGGCGGUGGCCCUGGCCGAAGGUUUCCUCCUGAGUCAGGCAGAGGAGAGAAAGCAGGUGAGAUAAAGUGCGAGAUUGGCUCCAUUAUUAUCAAAUAAUGGAGGCAUACAAAUUGGACAAAAAAGUUGGUUUCCAGGUGGAAAAAUCAGAAUUGGAAACAGAAUUGUUAGAUCCAAAAACCAAGAAUUUGUUAAGAAUGUAUAACUUGCUGUUGAAAUGGAACACUCAGGAUGAAACGGUGAAAUCAGCUAUGAUUAAAUGGGCACAAGAUGUAGGACAUAACAUAAUGAUGGCUGACUGGGAACGGUUAUGGACCACAGGUAUGAAAUUUACGGCAUGUAAUGCCCUAAGAGAAAAUUUAAUGAAAAUGAUUAAUAGAUGGUACAUGACACCAGUUAAGCUUGAAAAAAAUCUACCAUUUGCCCGAUAAUAAAUGUUGGAAAUGUAAUGAGACUGAAGGUACAUUCUUUCACCUUUGGUGGACGUGCCCAAGGAUUAAGGCAUUCUGGGAGAUGAUUUAUAAUGAAAUGAAAAAGGUAUUUAAAUACACCUUCCUGAAGAAACCAGAGGCCUUUCUCCUGGGCAUGGUCGGCCAAUUGGUGUUAAAGAAGGAUAGAACUUUUUUUAUGUACGCAACAACAGCAGCAAGAAUACUCAUUGCGAAGUAUUGGAAGACACAAGAUUUACCCACCCGGGAAGAAUGGCAGAUGAAGUUGGUGGACUAUAUGGAAUUGGCGGAAAUGACUGGCAGAAUCCGAGACCAGGGAGAAGAGUCGGUGGAAGAAGACUGGAAAAAGUUUAAAGACUAUUUACAGAAAUACUGUAAAAUUAAUGAAUGUUAGAAAAAUGUUGGAAUGAAGUUAUAUGGCUUUAGUAGAAAUGUUAUAAGGAAUUAAGUAUAAAUAGAUUAAUAGAGCAUUAAAGGGAAAAAUAAGGUUAGAAUGUGUUAAGACAAUUAUAGGAUAGAAAACAGAGGAAGAUGGAAAGGAAUUGCUGAAACAAUUAAUAGAAGUGGAAUACAAAAAGGGAGGUGUGAGGAGGUCGUGGAAAUUAGUGAAAGAAAGAUAAGAUAUUGAAAUUGGACUGUGUUUUAAAUGGUUUUUGUUUUGUUUUGUUAGUUGUAUGUUAGUGUUUUGCAGUGUUUUUUUUUGUAUUGUAUUGUUGUAUGUUUUUUCUUUUUUGGUUUUCUGUAGUGUUGUGUUCAAUUUGUUGGAAAACUAAUAAAUAUUAUUAUUUUUUUUAAAAAGGGGGAGAAAGCAGGUGAGAGAGACUUUCCUCUGGAUACUCCCAAGGGGCUCCAAACAGGACAGAAAACAUCCCAUAAUGGUCUGCUGAUGGCCCAUCCAUUUUCUGGGAAGGCAUCCAUGAAAUGAGAUCUCGUACCCUUCAAGUCUUUGUCAUUCUCUUUCUAGUAUUUCUCCCCAUUCUCUGUUUUGAAUCCUUGUUUCUUUCUCAGGGAAAGGAUCUCUUUGCAGAAAUGGACCUGGAUUCCUGUGAGGCAGAGAGGCCUCCGUUGGACACCAGAGAGAGGCCACUGGGUAAGGAGGAAGGUGGUUAUUCUCCGUUUGGUCUCGUUCUGUUGGUUUUCCAAUUCAUCUGAGGGUUCUUUUCACCUUGUUUUGGGGAGAGACAGUUGGGAACAAGGGUCCAGAGGAGGGGAGAUGUAUUUCUGCACAACAAACAUAAAAUGGGCAGAAACCUCCAAAUGCUUUCAGCAGGUAAGGCUUUCUCAAAGGCCCAUCUGUAGUUAGAGAUGCCCUGUUUCACCUGUGAGAGAUACAGGCACUCCUGGUGUCCUUUUUACAUUUUUUCUCUUGCAGGUGGCAGAAGGAUGCCAGCAAGACUUCCUGAUCCAUCUUUUCAUGGGGGCAGAAGGGAAGCAGCGGCUGUGGAACCAGAUCAGGUCAGGGGAAGCUGCCUUGUGGG
rnacentral:lncRNA from 1 species